UUUGGAGAUCGGAUGAAUUUAUGGCAAGCAAAUCAAUCUAGACCGUCGGAUGGCAUUAGGUUUAUUUUCCUUCCCUGCAUCCUUUUUGUUCCACGCCAUGUUGUUUCCUGCCGCCGCCACCUCUUAUUCCCGCCUCUUCUGUUCCUUGUGCUUCCGCCUCCUGCUCUUCCCAAUAGGUGCCAUUGAUUUCUAAUCCAAGCAUUUGUGCCAUGGGUUACUGGUUCCUAUCGCCGGUUUGCAGAGUUCUAGUGGCGAGCGCGUAGCACCGGGUUCUCGCCAAGGUUAAGACAAGUGCAUGACGAACUGUGUGUUGGCAAGUUGGUUGCCAUUCCUUUUCUUAUGAUUUCCAAUUGUUUUAUCACAUGUUUAUUAUAUUUAAGUCCAUGAGUUGUUCAUGUUUCAUGAUUCAAGUUUCAAGCUAUUUCUUAAAUUCUAUUCAUGUUCCGGUGGAUCCGGAUGUGCAAUUUGGUUCUUUUAUUCAUGUUCCUGUGAGUAAGUGCUGGCCCCACUUGCUCGGAUUUACCGGUAAAUGCUAAGGAUGUUUCAGGUUGUGUC